rnacentral:ncRNA from 2 species
AUAGGAAUGUAAGAAAGUACUUGUAUAAUCGUUGAGAUAAGGUCAACAAGUUUCUACCUCACGCCGUUGUUUGUGAGACUACAAGGAAUGAAGUUUGUAUA